ACACAAGCGACCAUGUGUGUCGCGUUACCGUCUAUUGCCUUGGCAAAGAACUAUUUUAUGUAGCAAGUUUUAUGAAUCAUUAUUAAUAUCGGGGCAGGCAGAACGAUAGGAAGCCCCCUCGAUAACACUAUUCUUGGAGCGUUUUCAAACUGUUGGAUAAGUGGAAUGGGAACGGCCGCUCAUUGGUUGAUAACUUAUCCAGAGAGUGGAGCUGAUACGCCGGGGACCUGUCACUCAGUCGCCAUACUCUCAUAUGAUAGGACGUCAGACAGACUACCAGCACUGGUAUCAUCCCUUCCCGUUACCAUAACAACCGACUCCACGGCGACUGUUCUUGCACUUGGCACCGAAACUCACUCCGCUGCUAAUUAUAUCACAGAAAAUAGCUACCAGUCAUGGAAUUCCAAAAAUAUCGGGUGGCUGGGAGCAAGAAAGAAGGCGCGUGCAGUUGGCCUCCGUAAUGAAACGGAGGCGCGCAAGUCAUUAUUAUGCUAGCAAGUCGUAACCAAUCACACUUGGGACACCACACGCAUUCCAACAAAACUUUUUUCUUUGGUAGAGAGCGCCUUUUUCCGCGUGUGUCAUCUUCUACAAUAGCUACAGUGUCCGAUUGUAAAGUGGUGGGUAAACAGUGAUUAUAAAGAUUCAUCCAACCAUGGGCUACUAUCCGUAUCAUCCUCGAGGAUAAAUCGCAUCGGAAUCACAUCAUAUCCAUGAGAUAGUUGGGGGAGGAUCAACUUAACUCCGAUUUAAAUAACAUUUCUAAAUCAAUUCAGCAAUUCAUCAAAUGAGAUUGAUGAAAAUCAUAUCUUUAUUCGAUAGAUCGAUUCAAUGCCAUCAGAUGAAGUGGACACCUUAUAGAUCAAGGGACAGCGAUUAGUACCUCAGUCCCUAUAGACUCCACCCAUCACCAGUAAAUAGACGGACGGCUAGUAAGAAACUUUUCUUUGGGAGGAAAAUCAGAUUCCAUUUUCGUGCAGGAAAGCCAGCAAACCUCAUCGAUACUUUGUUCGUCAUUCUUAAGGGUGUAACUGAAACUUUGGAUGAAGGGAGAGAGUUCUUUGAUGAUCCUUUCCAAAAUGGGGACGAGGAGAUAACAUUUGAAGAAUCCUGAGAAACUAUUUUGAAGCCAGGAAUCUAUUGGUCUUCAAUUUCGUAUUGAAUCAGACUCGGAGAAUUCAAGCCGAAACGUGGAACAUAUUUACGGAUACCAUAUCCACUUGGGAUUCCCUAAAAGGAAUUUUAUCAUUUCGUUCUCAAAAGAGAAUCUACAACGAUCAUCAUGUUGAUACUGUGUUUGCUCUGUCUCACUUGGAUGAUUCCUAUGUUGGCCGGGUCUACCUUGGUGCCAGGAGAUCGUUCAUCGUCAGAGAGAAAUGUUGACGAUUCACACUACCUACCUCCAACUAACCCACUCUUACUUCUCGAGGAAUACACUUCUUUAAAAUCACAGAUGGAGGACCUGGACCCCUUAGCGUUCCCACCUGGAACCGAGAUUCGAAUAGCCCCACACAAAGUCCUGAAACCUUCAAGCGAAGAAGCCAUGCAGAUUACAGAAAAACAAUACCUCCGCGGGGACUGGUGCAAAACGCAACCCUUGAAGCAAAGAAUUGAAGAGCCAGGAUGCAUCCCAAGGACCAUCGCAAAUAGAUUCUGUUACGGACAGUGUAACUCUUUCUUUAUCCCCAAACAAGCGGCGUCUUACAACGAAGCUUUCAAAUCAUGCUCUUUUUGUAAACCGUUUCGAGUUAACCACAUUACAGUAACUUUGCGAUGCCCUGGUCAGAAUCCACCUAUCAAAAGGAAACGGGUUCCGAGAGUAAAACGGUGCAGAUGCAUGGCGGUGGAUGUUCCGUAAAUAAACAUCCGAUGGGACGGUAUAACUUUAUAAAACACUAUUUAUAUCCUGUGGACAAAACUUGAGAUGAAAAGGACAUCUUUGAUGAAUUUAUCUAUGACAUGUAUCAAUAUUAUUUCUAUCUCAUCGUAUCAAGAAAAAAAAGAAGAAACACGGCCACACGGUACACACACAGUAUUCAAGGUAUACACAUUAUCGUGUAUGGGAUGCGUGUCGCAGGCUCUGAUUGGUGGAAUAGGAAACUCAACGAAUCAUCACGUGACUUAACGAGAUGACGACAUUUACUGAGUGGUGUCCAAACAGCUCUGUGUGGCGUACAAAGGGAGCUCAAAGGCACAACGCCAUAUUUAUGCAAUUAAUAUAAUGCACUCAUUAAUUAUUGAUAUUUGUAUAACAGAAGAUAUGAGAUAUUCACAUUGUACAUAUUGUAUAAUGAUAUAAUCUGUACUGUAUUCAAUGAAGAUAUUCUCUACUACUCUCGUAUUUUUGUGAGUGAAAUAUAAUGUAAAUACAUGGAGAUAUGUAUGAACUAUACAA